rnacentral:sRNA from 1 species
AGGGGUGGGGGGGAAGGCUUAUCUGGAACAGUCAUGUUGUUAGUAACUGCAAUUAAUUUCUCUCCUAUUUACUGGGGGCUAAUGGAUACAGCAGUUGAAUUCAUCGCAGCCAUUGAGUUCAUCAGGAUCAUGAUGGUGUGAGACGUUUCCGUCUCUGAACUUUCAGUUCCUGAGACAUCUAAAGGUGUCCGAGUGUUUUGCCUGCCUGUAUGAACAUAUACUAUGAGUGCUGUGCCUUGGAGCUGGAAUGAACAUAGUUCUGUGCAUGAAUCCUCUGAAAGAGCGACAGGGUUUCUCUGUGUAGCCCUGGCUGUCCUGAAACUCAUUCUGAAGAUCAGGCUGGCUGCCUGGCAUAGAUGACUUUUUUAUGUGAGAAAUACACUAGUCUAGAGAAACAUGACUGGCCUGAACAACUGGUUUUUAAUGAUAGCAUAUGUUACCUGCUAUUUGAGACAAGAUUCUCUGUGGAACCAUGGCUAUCCUUGAACUCACAGAGAUUCAUUGCUGCUGGGAGUAAAGGUUUGUACCACCACCUGCCCAGCCUUACUCCAUGAUUUUUAAGGAAUUCUCUAAAUGGCAAUGCUGAUUCAACUAAGAAGGCCAGAAUGAUGACACAGAUAUAACCCUAGCUUCCUAGACUUCAUGCAGAAAGUGACUAUGCCACUUACCACAACUUGCCACUCUACUCUGAAUAUUUACUUUAAAAUAUAUACACUUUACUUUUAACAUUUAUUUUCUUUUAAUUCUGUGUAUGUGCAUAUACCCUUUUCUGGGAGUGAUUUUUAGAGCUGUGGAUACGAGAGGCCGGUCAUGAGAGAGAAGCCUCCUGUGGGGAGGUCUUCAUAAGAGCAGUGCACGCUCAAUGCUGAGCCAUGGCUUCAUCGCUACAGGCAGCAUUAUGACUGUAACCAGGAAGGAAACGCUUUGCUCUGUCUGAUUGAACUCCAUCAAUAAAUUGAAACACUAUUAAUGAAAACAUUAA